CUACGGGCGGCUGCAGUGGGGAAUAUUGCACAAUGGACGAAAGUCUGAUGCAGCAACGCCGCGUGGAGGAUGACACAUUUCGGUGCGUAAACUCCUUUUAUAUAGGAAGAUAAUGACGGUACUAUAUGAAUAAGCACCGGCUAACUCCGUGCCAGCAGCCGCGGUAAUACGGAGGGUGCAAGCGUUACUCGGAAUCACUGGGCGUAAAGAGCGUGUAGGCGGGUUAAUAAGUUGGAAGUGAAAUCCUAUGGCUCAACCAUAGAACUGCUUCCAAAACUGUGAACCUAGAAUAUGGGAGAGGUAGAUGGAAUUUCUGGUGUAGGGGUAAUAUCCGUAGAGAUCAGAAGGAAUACCGAUUGCGAAGGCGAUCUACUGGAACAUUAUUGACGCUGAGACGCGAAAGCGUGGGGAGCAAACAGGAUUAGAUACCCGGGUAGUC
rnacentral:rRNA from 1 species